CAGCCCUUAAGCCUAGCUUAGUGUUGGGAAUCUACAGCCCGGGUGGUGUUACCCUGUAGCACCUACCCUGUAGUUCCUUAAAAUCAACGGCGGAUCUAUGGUAUCCUCUGAGCGUAGUAGUUUAUCUCGCUUCUGUCAGGUGCCGUAGUUCUUGCCGUUAAACCCCUAAUUUUUAAU
rnacentral:misc_RNA from 1 species